GCCUACGGGGCGCAGCAGUAGGGAAUCUUCCACAAUGGGCGAAAGCCUGAUGGAGCAACGCCGCGUGGGUGAAGAAGGUCUUCGGAUCGUAAAACCCUGUUGUUAGAGAAGAAAGUGCGUGAGAGUAACUGUUCACGUUUCGACGGUAUCUAACCAGAAAGCCACGGCUAACUACGUGCCAGCGGCCGCGGUAAUACGUAGGUGGCAAGCGUUAUCCGGAUUUAUUGGGCGUAAAGGGAACGCAGGCGGUCUUUUAAGUCUGAUGUGAAAGCCUUCGGCUUAACCGGAGUCGUGCAUUGGAAACU
rnacentral:rRNA from 1 species